rfam:Dipodomys ordii contig_33059, whole genome shotgun sequence.
GGUAAUGUAGCUUAGUGGUACAGUGCUUGCCUAGCAUGCAUGAAGCCCUGGUUCGAUUCCUCAGUACCA